AUAGGUUCCACCCAAAUUUCUCAUACAAGCAAAAUGAACCUAUUCAGCAUCAAGGUGGUCCACCAGGUUUUCAGAAGAAUUUUUCCAGGAUAGGUCCAUCACAAAUAAACCAAUCAUUGGCUCCACCUAUUCCUACUUAUAGUGCCCCUAUCCCUCAGCAAACUACAUCAUUAGAAGCCAUGAUGGCUAACAUGAUGAAGCAGCAACAAGACUUCAUCCAACAACAACAACAGACCAACAUGGCUCAAACCCAGACUAACCAAUU
rnacentral:lncRNA from 1 species